UUUAAAAAUCGUUAGAUAUUAGCGCUGACGUCACACAUUCAGAGGGGUAUUCCUAAGCAUUAGCCCCUCUGAAUCAAAAUGCUGCAAUUUUUGAAAUUCAAUAUUUCCGAUUUAAGGCAUUUCUCGAUGUUGUGAGUGCCGAAACCGGUAAUUGUGAGCCAGGGACCCCAUUUUGGCUAUCUCAACUCAAAUCUAAUGUUAAGGUGGGAGGGUCCCUUUAAGUAUUGGUGAGGUUGAGGUAGGACGAGUAGCUGUGAUGGAUCUGAGUGCAGGUGAUAGCCAUGUCGGCUCUCGAGAGCCAUCACUCAGCUUCCUCCCCAAAGAGGUGCUGGCAGCAGCUCGGCCCGAGGUGCCUGGUGGACCGGGGGACGUCAGCUGUGAGGUGCUCAUCAUCGGCGCUGGAGUAGCCGGGCUCACUGCUGCUUAUGAACUGCUCAAACGGGAUCCAAACAUCAAUGUCUGUGUGAUUGAGGCCAAUGAUCGCGUUGGCGGUCGCACUCUGGCCACUCAGAUGCGUGUCAGGGAUGGUGCCACUGACACGUUUGACCUUGGUGGGCAGUGGGUGGCCCACGCCCAAAAGGAGAUUAUGGAAACCCUUUCUGAGCUCGGGCUGGAGGUGUACCCCGACAAUAUGCAGGGCGCGACACAGGUGCAGCUGAGUGGUCCCCGUGUGCGGCGGAUCGGCUCCCUCCCAAAUAUCGGCUCCUGGUGGGGCGUGGUCCAGCUGGCACGUCUCUACAGGAAGAUUAACAGUCUGGCCGAACAGUGCGCGCCUAGCAGCUCCUCCCGGGAGCGCGUGGAGCGGGAACUGAACUCCUUCACCCUGGAGGCGUACGCUCGACAGUACGUGAGCGAGGGGCCCGCCCUGGAGCUCGUCGCCACUCUGUGCAGAACCGAGUUAGGCUGUGAAGCCAGCCGUGUCGGUCUCGUCGAGUUUCUGUCGGAGACCCAGAGCGCCGGUGGUCUGUCAGGAACGAUGAGCGCGCAGGAGCUGAAGGUCAAGGGCGGCACGCAGCAGAUCAGCGAACUGCUGGCGGACCGGAUUGGCCGCCACCGUCUGUACCUGCGUCAUCCCGUCACCGACAUCACCGAGAGGCAGGACGGCGGCGUCAGCGUCACCACCGCCGCCGGCAACCUCUUCCACUGCCAGCGUGUAAUCUGCGCGAUACCGGUAGUGCAGCUGCCCUGGAUCCGAUUCGACCCGCCUCUGAGCCCACCCAAACGGGAGAUCAUCAGGAGCGCCAACACGGGACACCUCAUCAAAUUCAUCGUCACAUUUGAGCAGGCGUUUUGGCGCGAGUCGGGCCUGUCGGGCGCCACUAUCUCCAGCGGCGGCGGACAGCCGGAGGGUCCCGUCUCGGCUGUCGUGGACGCCACAACUUACAAAGGCAGCCCGGCACUGGUCGGCUUCAUCUCUGGACGCUUCAGCCUCCACUGGCAGUCUCGCACGAAAGAGGAGCGGGAGAACGCUGUGAUUUCGCAUCUGGUGGCGUUCUUUGGGCAGGACGUCAACCACUAUAUCGAGUACCAAGAAAAGGUGUGGUCGGAGGAGCGGUACGGAGGCGGCGCGCCCGGCUGCUCCUUUGGACCCGGUCUCACCAGUCUGAUGCCGGAGCUGACGAAGCCGCACGGAAGCGUAUCGUUCUGCGGUGCGGACAUUGCCAGCAAGUGGCCCGGCUAUAUGUGCGGCGCUGUCAUCACCGGCCGGCUGAGGGCGCUCGAGACGCUGUACGCCCUUCGCCCGGGCGCGCUCAGCCCCACUGAUCUGGAGCGGAUCGGAAAACGCGGCGGCUGAGGUCUGUCGGUCACCAAGCACACCCCUGGCUCGGUGGAGGCUGCCUGCCAGGACGUCCGGCGAGGUGCCGGCCCGUGCCGGGCAGUACCCUGAUGUGGGAUAGCACCCUCGGCCUGGCUAUCCGGCCGUUUGUCGUCCUCUUCCUGGUGAUGCUUCAGCGGAGGUUCUUGGGAGGCGGCAUCGCAGCCUUCGGCGUCGACUUCUGAGAACGGUGGUGGGUCAGCGCAUCUACACACUUUGCUUCGGUCGUAGUGAGAGUGUUAUAGGCGACACUAGGCAGUGAUAUUAUGUUACGCAGAGAUACUUGAUCGAGCACGGGUUAUCAAUCGUUAGACCGUCAAACAAAUUAACGGUUGUGAUCGGAAUAUGGCAUUUGGAUGUUUCGCGAGAGGUGAUUUUAUGAUUGCUUUGUAACCAGUAACUUUAACAGGCCUGUGGUUUGCCAAUCACUAGAUGCUGAGCUAAAAAGCU